AGAGUUAAACAGUACGUGAAAUUGUUGAAAGGGAAACGAUUGAAGCCAGUCAUGCCGGUGGGAAAUCAGCCGGGCUCUUGGGCGCGGUGUACUUUCUCGUAGGCAGGUUAGCGUCGGUUUUGGUUGCCAGAAAAUGGUGCGGGGAAUGUGGCUCUUCGGAGUGUUAUAGCCCUGUGUCGACGUGGUGACCGGGACCGAGGAUUGCAGCCAGCCGGUUCUCCGGCGGGAGACUUGGGCGCUGGUAGUGGGUCUGGCGUGGACAGCUUGCUGACCGCGACGGAAGACGCAACCACCCGUCCAAAGCCUCUCCUCCUGGCUUAGGUCGCUGACUUAAUGAUUCUAAAUGACC
rnacentral:rRNA from 1 species